rnacentral:rRNA from 1 species
UUCGCCCUUAGAGUUUGAUCCUGGCUCAGAACGAACGCUGGCGGCAUACCUAACACAUGCAAGUCGAACGAAGGCUUCGACCUUAGUGGCGCACGGGUGCGUAACGCGUGGGAAUCUGCCCUUAGGUUCGGAAUAACAGCUGGAAACGGCUGCUAAUACCGGAUGAUAUCGCGAGAUCAAAGAUUUAUCGCCUGAGGAUGAGCCCGCGCUUGGAUUAGGUAGUUGGUGGGGUAAAGGCCUACCAAGCCGACGAUCCAUAGCUGGUCUGAGAGGAUGAUCAGCCACACUGGGACUGAGACACGGCCCAGACUCCUACGGGAGGCAGCAG